rnacentral:rRNA from 1 species
AGGGCACCACCAGGAGUGGAGCCUGCGGCUUAAUUUGACUCAACACGGGAAAACUCACCCGGCCCGGACACCGUGAGGAUUGACAGAUUGAUAGCUUUUUCAUGAUUCGGUGGUUGGUGGUGCAUGGCCGUUCUUAGUUCGUGGAUCGAUUUGUCUGGUUUAUUCCGAUAACGAGCGAGACUCCAGCCUACUAACUAGUGCGAGCAUUGUCUCUGUGCUUGUCACUUCUUAGAGGGAUUGGCUGCGUCUAGCAGCACGAAACGGAGCAAUAACAGGUCUGUGAUGCCCUUAGAUGUCCGGGGCUGCACGCGCGCUACACUGGCAAAAGCAGCGUGCUUGUCCGCCUCCGAAAGGAGCCGGUAAACCCUUGAAAAUUUGCCGUGAUUGGGAUCGGAAAUUGCAAUUAUUUUCCGUGAACGAGGAAUUCCUAGUAAGUGCGAGUCAUCAGCUCGCGUUGAUUACGUCCCUGCCCUUUGUACACACCGCCCGUCGCUGCCUAGAACUGAGCCAUUUCGAGAA